GCCGCAGUAGCUCAGGAGUAGAGCAAUCGCCUGAAAAGUGAUGUGUCGGGAGUGCGAAUCUCUCCUGCGGCA
rnacentral:tRNA from 1 species